UACGUAGGGUGCGAGCGUUAAUCGGAAUUACUGGGCGUAAAGGGUGCGCAGGCGGUUAUAUAAGACAGAUGUGAAAUCCCCGGGCUCAACCUGGGAACUGCGUUUGUGACUGUAUGACUAGAGUACGGUAGAGAGGGGUGGAAUUCCCGGUGUAGCGGUGAAAUGCGCAGAUAUCGGGAAGAACACCCGUGGCGAAGGCGGCUCUCUGGGACGGUACUGACGCUGAGACGCGAAAGCGUGGGGAGCGAACAGG
rnacentral:rRNA from 1 species